rnacentral:lncRNA from 1 species
GUUUAAUCAGGUAGGUUAUUGAGAACACAGUCUCUUACAAAAACAACCAAGAGAAGGCCUACGAAAAGGCCGUAGGGACAAUUCAUGUCUAUGUAUUGGGAUGGAGUUUGUUAAUUGAAAAUGGACUAUCUAUAACAACUUUGACUUUAAUUAAAUGAUUACAGCAUUUUAUUUUUGUAACUACUUUUCCAUGAUUAUUUAUAUAUUUCUGCCCUAACUACAUUUAUACAAAAAAAAUAAGUUUUUUUGUAUCCACUGGCAUAUGCACAGCUUUAACGCUGUCCAAAUGGAGAGAAAGACCAGAAGAAGAAAGAAACAGAGAAGACAAUAUUGAUCAGCACCUUUCAUCUUCAAUACUGGUGGCUUUCAUCUUCAAUACUGGUGGCUUUCAUCUUCAAUACUGGUGGCUUUCAUCUUCAAUACUGGUGGCUUUAUAAUGGUGGCUUAUACUGUUGGCUUUAUACUGGUGGGCUUUAUACUGGUGGCUUUAUACUGGUGGCUUUAUACUGGUGGCUUUAUACUGGUGGUUUUCAUCUUCAAUACUGGUGGCUUUCAUCUUCCAUUGUACUCUUAAUAGGGAACACUCACUUUGACCAAAUUAUUUUUGACAGACAGAUAAGCAGAUCGUUACAAACAUAUAACCUGAGGGACUGUCUGUUUCUAUUCUGUAUAUCAGGUUCCAAAGGCAUGUGAUGUUGUUUAGUGUUCGGGAUGAUUAGUCCUACUUUAUCUCUCUCCAGCCCUUGAUGAUCAGUGAAGGCUAUUUAACCUCUCACUCUACAAGGUCACUGAGUCUGAACCAGCCAGUCAUCUACAUUCAUAUCCUGUGUUUUAUCACCCUACGAGCCAGGACACAGCCUGAGAUUCUCUGGCAGGCCACUGUUGACCAAUUCAAAGUCUAGGUUGAAAACUAAAGGAGAUCGGGCAUUUGCCCGAGACUUUGGAAUGGUCUGCCAGAGGACAUCAGGCUUAUAGAUUCAGUGCCUCUUUUUAAAUCCCUUACCGAAGACACACUUUUGUAAAGAUGCUUAGUGAUUUUAUUUUACGCUGUGAAGCAUGUUACUUGUAUCGAAAAGCGCUAUACAAAUAAAGUUAUAAUUAUAUUAAACCCCACUAAUCCCUCAAUCCGCACUGCAUCCGUUCCUUCCUGCUGUUCUACCCUGGCCCUAGGAAGCAGGUGAUGAAUCCGUUUUUUUAGUCAUCAAGUACGUAACAAGCAAUCAUUUCUAAAUUGGCCAAGUGGGAGAGGCUAGUGUAUGACGGCAGGGUAUCAUCUGUCUCGGAAGCAGAGAAAUUAAAUGAAGACCUGAUUUUAGAAUUGAUUUAAUAAUUUUCAACAAAGAUAAAUGUUAAUUAUCAGACGAAUGAAACAAACUUAAAAAUUUUUUUUUUUAAAGAAAUGCUUUGUUUCUGUGGAUCCUAACGUAUCUUCUUAGUGAUGUUUUAUUAAGGACUGGUUUUCUGUCUGUGUGGUUAAAGUUAUGGUCCUACAUUUUCCUCCUGGACUUUCUUAUUGUUAGUGAAGUGAGUUUAAAGAGACAGUUGACUUUGAGAUAUUUCCAAUUGAGCCGAAAUAUGCAGCUAUUACCGUGAAUGCAGUGUCCGCGAACACGUCAUGGAUUGAAACUAGGGACUCUAUUCAGUCAUGGAAGUUCAGCGUUACAACCUAAUUUAAAGGCAAUGUUCCCGCUUUAGCGGAGACCGCAUUCACGGUAAACGUUGCACAUGCCAGCUCAAUGGGAAAGGAUCUUAAAAUGUAUAUCGCAGAAUCUGUAACGCUUCAGCGAUCCAGACCGAAUAGCUGAAUGUUGUGAACU